rnacentral:misc_RNA from 1 species
GAUGAAGAACGUAGCGAAAUGCGAUAAGUAAUGCGAAUUGCAGAAUUCCAGUGAGUCAUCGAAUCUUUGAACGCACAUUGCGCCCUUUGGUAUUCCGAAGGGCAUGCCUGUUCGAGCGUCAUUAUCACCCCUCAAGCCCUCGGCUUGGUGUUGGACGGUUUGGUGGAGGCCCCCUCGGGGGUUCCUGCCCCUCCCAAAGACAAUGACGGCGGCCUCGUUGGACCCCCGGUACACUGAGUUCUUCACGGGACACGUAUCGGACGCAUGGGUUUACGGGACACGGUCUGCCUCCCCUCAGGGAGAAUCUUUCUAAGGUUGACCUCGGAUCAGGUAGGGAUACCCGCUGAACUUAAGCAUAUCAAUAAGCGGAGGA